UGGCCUACGGGAGGCAGCAGGCGCGAAAACUUCACACUGCAGGAAACUGUGAUGAGGGAACUCCAAGUGCAUGCACAAUGUGUAUGCUUUUCCUUACUUUUAAUCGGUUUGGGAAUAAGGGCUGGGAAAGACCGGUGCCAGCCGCCGCGGUAAUACCGGCAGCUCAAGUGGUCGUCGCUUUUAUUGGGCCUAAAACGUCCGUAGCCUGUUUGGUAAAUCUGUGGGUAAAUCAACCAGCUCAACUGGUUGAAUUCUGCAGAGACUGCCAGACUAGGGACCGGGAGAGGUGUGGGGUACUCUCGGGGUAGGGGUAAAAUCCUGUCAUCCUGGGAGGACCACCAGUUGCGAAGGCGCCACACUGGAACGGAUCCGACGGUCAGGGACGAAGCCUAGGGGCACGAACCGGAUUAGAUACCCGGGUAGUCCUAGGAGUAAACGCUGUGAACUUGGUGUCGGGGAUCCUACUUGGGUUCCCGGUGCCGGAGUGAAGAUGUUAAGUUCACUGCCUGGGGAGUACGGUCGCAAGGCUGAAACUUAAAGGAAUUGGCGGGGGAGCACUGCAACGGGAGGAGCGUGCGGUUUAAUUGGAUUCAACGCCGGAAAACUCACCAAGGCCGACUGUUAGAUGAAGACCAGCGUAAUGAGCUUGUGCCGGAUUUUCAGAGAGGUGGUGCAUGGCCGUCGUCAGUUCGUACUGCAAAGCCCGUUCUGUUAAGUCAGAUAACGAACGAGACCCGCAUCCCUAUUUGCCACCUUCUGUUCUCCGGAGCAGGCGCACCAUAGGGAGACCGCUGGUGUGAAACCAGAGAGGAAGGCGCGGGCAACGACAGGUCAGUAUGCCCCGAAUGUCUUGGGCUAGCCACGCGCGCUACAAAGGACGGGACAAUGGGAAGCCAGGCCGAGAGGUCGACGGCUAACCCGAAACCCGUUCAUAGUUCGGAUCGAGGGCUGUAACUCGCCCUGUCGUGAAGCUGGAUUCCGUAGUAAUCGUGUUUCAACAUAGCACGGUGAAUAACUGCCCCUGCUCCUUGCACACACCGCCCGUCAA
rnacentral:rRNA from 1 species